rnacentral:rRNA from 1 species
GACGAACGCUGGCGGCGUGCUUAACACAUGCAAGUCGAACGCUGAAGCUCAGCUUUUGUUGGGUGGAUGAGUGGCGAACGGGUGAGUAACACGUGAGUAACCUGCCCCCUUCUUUGGGAUAACGCCCGGAAACGGGUGCUAAUACUGGAUAUUCACUGGUCUUCGCAUGGGGGUGGGUGGAAAGGGUGUUUCUGGUGGGGGAUGGGCUCGCGGCCUAUCAGCUUGUUGGUGGGGUGAUGGCCUACCAAGGCUUUGACGGGUAGCCGGCCUGAGAGGGUGACCGGUCACAUUGGGACUGAGGUGCGGCCCAGACUCCUACGGGAGGCAGCAGUGGGGAAUAUUGCACAAUGGGCGCAAGCCUGAUGCAGCGCCGCCGCGUGAGGGCUGGUGGCCGUCGGGUUGUGAACCUCUUUCGCUCAUGGUCAAGCCGCAACCAUGGUUGUGGUGAGGGUAGUGGGUAAAGAAGCGCCGGCUAACUACGUG